AUUGAACGCUGGCGGCAGGCCUAACACAUGCAAGUCGAGCGAGCGGCGGACGGGUGAGUAAUGUCUGGGAAACUGCCUGAUGGAGGGGGAUAACUACUGGAACCGGUAGCUAAUACCGCAUACCAUCAGAUGUGCCCAGAUGGGAUUAGCUAGUAGGUGGGGUAACGGCUAACCUAGGCGCCGAUCCCUAGCGGGUCUGAGAGUAGAACCAGCCACCCUGGAACUGAGACACGUGCCGAACUCCUACGGAGGGCAGCAGUGGGGAAUAUUGCACAAUGGGCGCAAGCCUGAUGCGGCCAUGCCGCGUGUGUGAAGAGGGCCUUCGGGUUGUAAAGCACUUUCAGCGGGGAGGCGUUACCCGCAGAAGAAGCACCGGCUAACGCCGUGCCAGCAGCCGCGGUAAUAC
rnacentral:rRNA from 1 species